rnacentral:rRNA from 1 species
GAUGAACGCUGGCGGCGUGCCUAAUACAUGCAAGUCGAGCGAACAGACGAGGAGCUUGCUCCUCUGACGUUAGCGGCGGACGGGUGAGUAACACGUGGAUAACCUACCUAUAAGACUGGGAUAACUUCGGGAAACCGGAGCUAAUACCGGAUAAUAUAUUGAACCGCAUGGUUCAAUAGUGAAAGACGGUUUUGCUGUCACUUAUAGAUGGAUCCGCGCCGCAUUAGCUAGUUGGUAAGGUAACGGCUUACCACGGCGACGAUGCGUAGCCGACCGGAGAGGGUGAUCGGCCACACUAGAACUGAGACACGGUCCAGACUCCUACGGGAGGCAGCAGUAGGGAAUCUUCCGCAAUGGGCGAAAGCCUGACGGAGCAACGCCGCGUGAGUGAUGAAGGUCUUCGGAUCGUAAAACUCUGUUAUUAGGGAAGAACAAAUGUGUAAGUAACUAUGCACGUCUUGACGGUACCUAAUCAGAAAGCCACGGCUAACUACGUG